rnacentral:rRNA from 1 species
AACGAACGCUGGCGGCAUGCCUAACACAUGCAAGUCGAACGAUACCUUCGGGUCUAGUGGCGCACGGGUGCGUAACGCGUGGGAACCUGCCCUUAGGUUCGGAAUAACUCCCCGAAAGGGGUGCUAAUACCGGAUAAUGUCUUCGGACCAAAGAUUUAUCGCCUUUGGAUGGGCCCGCGUUGGAUUAGCUAGUUGGUAGGGUAAAAGCCUACCAAGGCGACGAUCCAUAGCUGGUCUGAGAGGAUGAUCAGCCACACUGGGACUGAGACACGGCCCAGACUCCUACGGGAGGAAGCAGUGGGGAAUAUUGGACAAUGGGCGAAAGCCUGAUCCAGCAAUGCCGCGUGAGUGAUGAAGGACUUAGGGUUGUAAAGCUCUUUUACCCGGGAUGAUAAUGACAGUACCGGGAGAAUAAGCUCCGGCUAACUCCGUG